UCACUUUCAGCGAUGUGGUAGAGCCGUGUGAUGGAUUUGACAAUGAGUUCCUUCGGUGUAAGGGAAUGACUCUGGAAUAUUUGAGCAACAACGGGAGCGCUGUCAGAAUGUCAGGAACGUUAGAAAUGCUGCAGUCAAUUGACGAUGAUCAUUCAAUGGAGAUGCGCAUAUCUAAGGUAUCAGGAACAUCGUGCAAUGACGUAAUGUGGGUUGGAGCCUCAAAUGUGUGUGGAAGUAUUAAAGAUGAAAAAACACCAUGGUACCCUGUGAUAGAAAAUAUGAAAAUAACGGAAUGUCCGAUAGCCACGGGCGACUAUGCAAUGAAUGAUGUUAUUCUAAAAGAAGCAUCUGCCGAUGACUUCUGCUCUCCAGAAAUGGUUGGUGAUUAUUGCAUACAGAUGUCUGUUACUAACACCAGGAAUGAACAGCUCUCGUGCUACAUUUCAUACGUUUCGUUGGAAGAUGCCAAGAAAAAGAAAUAAAGCAAAUAUUAAUGUCUAAGUCUCUAUAUAAAAGU